UUGGUUCCGCCCGAAGAUGGUUUCCGCCCAGGCCGCAUUCGACAACACACUCCUUCACAUCCUGGUUUCCAGGGCAACGUAAUCGGGGCCUUACGAGCCACAGGUGCGGAGAAUCAAUGAAGCGAACUGUGAUUGGAGGCUGGGCGUGGAUGAAACACAUAAAUAGCUCUACAGGAACACAAGAAAAGCGCGAUUGAUACGGGGAAAGCUCCUUUGCCAAAGGCAGAAAAAGACACGCACCUUUUGAAGAGCCCGAAGGCUCUGUUGAUCCGGGCUGUGCUAGGAAAGCGAGCGGAAAGAGGACAGAGCCACAGGAGGCGAAAGAAAGGCAGGCUGUGGACCAAUUAAAGGAGCACCCUGAAGAGUGUCGUCGUGGUGUGCUUGGUGUGUGUCGAAGUGCUGAGUUGUGCUCGUCCGGUACACUGUUGGUGGCUGUUUACACUCUCUCUCUUUCUUAGACUGAAGUUGGAUGUUGAUGAAGAUAUAGUGAACCUUAUAGGUUGAAGAACGAUCGGAAUACGAUAUACAUCGAGAGGAACAAAGGAGAAGGAAACGUAUUGUUGUGAGUACACACCUGUGGAGAAGUGGUGAUUUACCGGAAGUAUAGCAUAACCCGGUCGGAGAAAGAGUCGCCCUGUCGGCGUGUUUGGAGUGUUUGCAGCGUGAACUGAAGCAGAGAAUCGUGGGACGAAGAAAUUGCAACAGUCGUGAGUACCAAAGCAUUCUAUUGGAAACGAAUUGUAUGCUGACUUGUAUUUUUACUGAAUACCUCCAGGAGAGGGAGGGCGGCCCUACCCCUGAGAUAGCGUGGUGGGUGAGCCGAAGGAACCUUUACUGAAGCAACCACAGCAACGAAACGAGCAACUAGGCCGUAUUAUCCAUCGCCAAAUUCGACCAAAGCGAAGUGGAGGAAGACGGGCGUCCUUUGUGUACACCUGAGUGUGGUGGGUGAGUCCUUGUGCUGUAGAAACUUUCACUUUGAAGUGGUGCUGUGUAUUGCUGUGGAUUGCUGUGCAAUUGCUGUGUGUCUUGUCAGACGUACCCCCGCCUUCACUCAUUUCGUCGAGGCAAGACGAAGAGGCUAACGGUCCUAGAGAGACCUGUAUAUUAUAUGCUGUGAGUGUGCUUCAGGUUCAAAGCAACGGUGUGGUGCCCUGGAACGAUUUCCCGUCCGAACAUUGGGCGGGUUUGGAGAGUGGCGGUGAAGAACAGAAAAGUUGGCAGUUGUCCGCUGCCUGUGGAGAAAGAGAACGAGCGUGAGCACCAAGAGAACAAACUGUGUGAAACCUGAACUUACCGAGAGCUGUGAACAGCGAAGAGGUGAGAGCCAUCCAAGUCAGAUUAACUGUGUCUUUGUGUCUCAGCCGCUGCCUGUAGAGAAGGAGAAAAAGAGGGUGAAUAAACGACAAAGAAUUGUAUGAGCCCGAGCGGUGAAGUUCCCGCGAAGUGGGAUACAGGUACGCUGACAGGAGAUUAACUUCGGCAACUCAUAUUGUUUUACCUCUGCCUCCAGGAAAGAAAAGGAGGGCGCCACGGAUAGCGGGGACAGGCAGGAGCCUGUUUUCCACGCCUCCCCUUGGGUCUACAGUGCCCUGGACCCCCGUUGCCCCCCCCCCUUUUCCUGUCACUCGCUUGGCCAUAGCCUGCCUGGAAGGCAGAGCAGGAGUUUUAGUUUUAAUUGCCCUUUCCCCAUUCCCCAAGAAAUUUUAGAUAUUUAAAUAAAUAAAGAUUGUUUUUAUUACUUACC